GAACUUUGGUGGGAGCUUUGGUUCGGCUGGGACCUGCGCCCUGAAUGAAGGCUUCCCUGGUACCCCCUGCCGAUCCGCGGUCUUGGGGACCUGCGCGUCCGAUAGCGCGUGCUCGAAGAGGAGAGGCAACCUCAGCUCCAGGGGGUUUGAACCGACCCACUUUCAGUUACGAGUAAACUGAGACCAGAGAGCAGAGGGGGCUUAUUUCCCUCUGCCCCAUACUGGCCGGCGAAAGGGCAAGUCACACAGAGCAGGCGACCUUUUUGUCAAAAGUGUGUGGGGCGGGGCGCGCAGUAGGCGCCCUAAACGCUGGACUGAACAGAGAAGCUUAAUUGAUACUUAAGAGUGGAAGCUUAGCUACAGUUAAGGACUCCUUCCUCCUUUCAUUCAUUUAAUAAAGAUUUAUUGAUUCAGUCACGUCUAUGCUACUUAAUGAGGCGUCUUGGGAGCAUUUCAAACAAGAAGUCGGUUUUCCACCUACCCCUCAGUUUUCCCAAGACAUUCCUGCGUGAACAGCCACACCUUCCCACCCGCCUUCACCUCUCCUACCCGACUCUGUCUCUGGCUGGAUUGGAUUACAGUGCAGGCCUCUCAACCUGGAAAGGGCAGAGCCAC
rnacentral:lncRNA from 1 species